rnacentral:rRNA from 1 species
UACGAAGGGGGCUAGCGUUGUUCGGAAUUACUGGGCGUAAAGGGCGCGUAGGCGGUGUGUCAAGUCAGGCGUGAAAGCCCCGGGCUCAACCUGGGAACUGCGCUUGAGACUGGCACGCUCGAGUUCGGGAGAGGAUGGUGGAAUUCCCAGUGUAGAGGUGAAAUUCGUAGAUAUUGGGAAGAACACCGAUGGCGAAGGCAGCCCCCUGGGAUAACACUGACGCUCAUGCACGAAAGCGUGGGGAGCAAACAGG